GCAGUCUCUGCGGAGGGAUUUCUGGCGUCGCCCGUGGAUUUCCUGUCCUGGGGCCUCUCAGACUUUCGCGACUCACCCGUGCUUGCGGGCUGUCUGCUUUGACUCUUUCAUCCCGCGUUUCCCGGAUGCCUCCGAGCGCCAGGCCUUUGGUGGGGUGCAGCAACGACCCUGUCUUGCCGGAGCAGCGCCCUGUCUGCUCCGGGGUCCGCGCCACGGGACAGUCUCAGGGUGAGCGGCGGGAAGAAGCCUCGACCGUGCCUUCCCCGGGGAGCCUGCAAGAGCUGGCAGAAAAACCACACUCCAAGCACGUUCUCAGCGAGCAGGGUAAACCACUUGAAUCCGGGGCCCGAAAACCAAGAAACCAGUUCUGAGUGUUUUCACCUCUCCCACCGCUUCCUCCUAAAUUUCAUUAGGGCUGACAAUUUGUAUAUCCACUUACAGGGUAAUGCGAUUUAAAUGGCUGACCGUAACUGCUAGAACCGAGUUUUCCCGGGACGCGGUGAGCCGAGGAGGCAGCCGGGGACGCUUCCCAGGGCGCUGGGGCCCUGUCCCCAUCAGUGCGGUGGCCCGAAUGUGACUGGCCCGACGUCAUGUCCACCCUGGGAGAUGCGGGGACAGCCUCUUGGCCCCCUUCCCUCUUCACCCCGCAAUCACUUUUGUUUUCGGAGGCCGAGCUAUCUUGGAGUUUUGGGCAUGCAAUAAAACACGCUCGACCACAAGGCCCCUCUCGAGCCAGGACUGUCGGAGGAGGAAGCCAAGUCCCUUGGCCGGGCUGUCUACAUGGAUAAACACUUGGCGAACUCCGGAAGCUGAGCAAAGACAUGGAGGAACACACAAGUGGACGCACCUCAAAUGCUCACCAUCCACCUCAGGUCAGCAUGUGUCUUGUGAACCACAGCUGUCGGUCCAACUUCAGACAACCUCCGUCCUCUACUGCACAACGACCACUUGCAAGCUGCAAGCCUUCUUCCCACGCCCACUUCCCACAUGGAAAUGCCAGGUCUUUUCCAGUUCAGCAUAUCCUGCUUCUUGCCACAGGUGCUGGAAAGAGAGCAGCAACCUUUAGUAAGCCAGUGACUAUGACAUGGCCAAGGUACAUGCUUUCCCUUCAAUCAAGAGGCACUCAGCAAAGGCCACCUUCUAAUAGGGAGGCAAGGAAAACUGGCUUCACUGUGUCUGGAAGAGAAGUUGACCAGUGGACAGCAGCAGAUCCCAUCCACAUCUUUGUCUCAAGUGGUGCAACCUUGGGCAGGUCGCUACACUUCCAUGGACCCACUUCUAAAAACGGUAGGAUUCUUGGGGCGCCUGGGUGGCUCAGUCGGUUGGGCGUCCGGCUUUGGCUCAGGUCAUGAUCUCACAGUCUGUGGGUUCGAACCCCACAUCAGGCUCUGUGCUGGCAGCUCAGAGCCUGGAGCCUGUUUCGGAUUCUGUGUCUCCCUCGCUCUCUGCCCCUCCCCAACUCAUGCUCUGUCUCACUCUGUCUCAAAAAUAAAAAUAAACAUUAAAAAAAUUCUUAAUGG